CUUUGAAAGGUGGGUAUUAUUUAGACAAUAUAGAGGAAAGAUAAGAUGUAACAGACAAAGGGAGUAGUGAGAGAAAGACACUGGGUAGGUUGCAGAUUAGAAAGAGAGAAUAGCUACCGUUGACUAGAUUACAGUGCUUGCCAAAGGGAGCAAUGAUAAAGAGAAAGCUGAUUAGAGGCGAAAUAGAGGAGAGCUCUUCAUGGCAGGCAAGGGAUUUUGAAUUCUGUUUUCCACGGUAGUGGGCCUUUAUAACAAAGCCAUGAGCAAACUGCAGGAUGUCCUACCUGUUUGAGCUUCUGAAACCCUAAGGUGUGCACGGAUCACAGAUCGGCUGGACAAUUACAACAGGAAUGCAGAUUCUCAUUCAGUAUGUCUGAGAUGAGCCUGGGAUGCAGGUGAAUGGUUAAACAAAUUGUGGUACAUUCCUACAAUGAAAUACUACUCAGCAAUAAGAAGGAAUAGACUGUUGAUACGUUCAACAAGUUGGGUGAAUCUCAAAGACACUAUGCUGAGUAAAAGAAGCCAUCUCAAAAGGGCUGCAUACCAAAAGGAACAAAAGCACAAAACAAACAAACAAACAAACAAGCAAGCAAAUGAUGGUGGAAACUAUUUUCAAAACUUCCCUGUUCUGGUAAAGACGUUUUCAGAGCUCUAACUAGUCCUGCUGAAAAUAUUUUUUAAAAUAUGAAAGCAUAGCGGAAAAUUUGUAUGAAAAAGAAAAAAGAAAAAGGAGGAGGAGGAAGAAGAAGAAGAAAGAAGAAAAAGGAGAGGAAGAAGAAGGAGGAGGAAGAGGAGAAGAAGAGGAGGAGGAGGAGGAAAUGGCAGAGACAAUGUAUGUCCCAGAAAGCCUAAAAUGUGUACUGUUUGUCCGUUUAUAGAAAAAGUGUGCCAAUCCCUACUCUGUUCCCAAUUUUAAAAACAAAUAAAUAAAAAGAAAAACAAGCAAGUCUCUCAGCCAAGAAAGAAUCGAUGGGAACUUUUUCAACUUUAUAAAGUGGAUCUACAAAAAACUACAACUAACACUAACGUCACACCUAAUGGUGAAAGUCUGAAUGUUUUCCCUCUAAGACUAGGAAAAGGUGGCAUGGAUGUCCACUUUCCCUACUCUAUUCAGCAUUGUAUCAAAAGUUCUUGUCAGUGAAAUAAGACAAAACAAUA